AGUGAACGCUGGCGGUAGGCCUAACACAUGCAAGUCGAACGGCAGCACAGUAAGAGCUUGCUCUUACGGGUGUCGAGUGGCGGACGGGUGAGGAAUACAUCGUAAUCUACUUUUUCGUGGGGGAUAACGUAGGGAAACUUACGCUAAUACCGCAUACGACCUACGGGUGAAAGCAGUGGAUCUUCGGACCUUGCGCGAUUGAAUGAGCCGAUGUCGGAUUAUCUAGUUGGCGGGGUAAAGGCCCACCAAGGCGACGAUCCGUAGCUGGUCUGGGAGGAUGAUCAGCCACCCUGGAACUGAAACACGGUCCAGACUCCUACGGGAGGCAGCAGUGGGGAAUAUUGGACAAUGGGCGCAAGCCUGAUCCAGCCAUACCGCGUGGGUGAAGAAGGCCUUCGGGUUGUAAAGCCCUUUUGUUGGGAAAGAAAAGCAGCAGGUUAAUACCCCGCUGUUCUGACGGUACCCAAAGAAUAAGCACCGGCUAACUUCGUG
rnacentral:rRNA from 1 species